CCAACUCCAUAUCUGAACAUAUUAUCUUAAGAACAAUCUGUAAAAGUUCCUUCUGCAUUUCGCUUCUGUAUUUCUCUUUCUGCUUGCCAACUCCCUUCUAGCAUCUCCUAUAAAAGGACCUCAGGCUCUGAGCCGGGCACCUCUCCAAACUUGGAGCUUGGAGAGUGCUGUCUGGCCAGACUAAUAAAGGUCUGUUAUACAAUUUGUCCGGUGUGUUCCCUCCCGGGUGAUCUUCGCUGUAGUCAGCUCCUCAGAGCAUUUGGUAAGGCCCACGGUCUUACAUUCUGGAGGCCCCAGCGAAAUCCCCGGGCUGUGGCGGGAUCCAGCAGGAGACUCUCAGGCACAGACCUCGGAAAACCUCCGGAGGUAAGCUUUCGGCCAGUUGCAACUGUUUGUUAAGUCAGCAGUGAGGUGGCUGACGAUCCAGGAAGCCUCCCCUGACCCUGAGGUUCCUGAUGAGGAAAAAAGGAAGAUUUAUUUUCAUUUUGUCAUGGCGCCCCGUUCGUCUUGUCUUUUGUCUUCUUGUCUUUUGUCUGUUAGUGUUGUCUGUUGUGUGUUGGAUUUUACUUUUUUUUUUUCCCAAUCCUUAUCAGGAGCAGAGUAAUGGGAGGAACCUGUUCUACCGGGUCCACUCCCCUUCACUGGUUUCUCACUAAUUUUAAAUUGGCUUUUUCCUCCAGAACAAGAAGAUGAAUACAGGAUAAAAUUUUCUCGUGGAAAACUCCACUCCCUGUGCCAACUGGAAUGGCAAGCUUUUGGGGUGGGAUGGCCAGCCAAAGGGACUUUUGACCCCAGUAUUUGCCGGAAGGUGUGGGGCAAAGUCACCGGUUGCCCUGGCCACCCAGACCAAUUUCCCUACAUAGACAUCUGGGUUCAGGCUUGUGAGAAACCUCCGGCUUGGCUGCAGUGCUGUUCCCUCCAAACAGACAAUCGCAUUUUAGUCGCUGCCCCGAAAGGGCCCCAGGAACUUAAGCCCCAGGCUCCUAAGCUGGUUCUCUCACAGGAACCUGACCCCCUGGAUCCCUUAGGAGGGCCUCCGCCCUAUGUGAAAUCCUCCACCCCCUCAGAUGGCUCCCACUCUAGACACUGCAAUCCUUCCCUUCCUUGUCUGUUCAACCUUUGGCUCCUACUCCUCUCUAUCCUCCUCUCCCUGAGGGGCCCCAGUCCCUGGACUCUGUGACUUCUCCCCCACACAUGCAAGCUGGGGCUGCAUAUGGACCUUGCGAGGUCCCCACUGGGGAAACUAGUUUGGCCCCUCUCUUGCCCCUUCGGGAGACAGAACAAGGUCACUAUGUUUAUAUCCCUUUCACUACCAGUGACUUAUAUAAUUGGAAACAUUAAAAUCCUCCCUUCUCAGAGAAGCCCCAAGCCCUAAUAUCUCUUCUAGAGUCUAUCUUCCAUACCCAUGAUCCUAUUUGGGAUGAUUGCCAACAACUCCUCCAGGCCCUUUUUACCUCAGAGGAGAGGGAAAGGAUCCGGGGCCAAGCUGUAAGGUCGGUACUAGGCAGAGCAGAGGGCCCAUAUUGAAGCACAACUCCCAUCCACCUGACCCCGCUGGCAAACUAAUACCUUGGGCAGGAGAGAAGCUCUUCAGAAUUAUCAUCAGCAUCUCCUGGCCUGCCUGAGGGGAGCUGCUCAGAAGCCUACCAAUUUGAGCAAGGUAAGCAAGGUCCUUCAAGGACCAGAGGAAUCCCCUUCUGCCUUUUUUGGAGCAUCUGUUGAAAGCAUACCAUACGUAUACUCCAAUUGAUCCAGACACCCCUGCAAAUCGGCAGGCAAUAAAUUUGGCAUUUGUUACCCAGUCGGCCCCAGACAUUAGAAAGAAGCUGCAAAGACUAGAAGGAUUUGAGGGAGAGAAUAGAGAAAAGUUGAUGAGUGUAGCCAUGAAGGUGUUUAUUUGUCCAGAAAGAAAGACUCGAAAAUAAGGGAGAGAACAAGGGAAGGAUUGGAGCCCUAUUAGAGAAGGAUCAAUGUGCCUAUUGUAAGGAAAAGGGUCAUUUUAAAAAGGACCGUGAAAAGCUAAAAAGAAAAAGAAAAAAGGAGGCCCAAAAGGAAAAAGGUGGAAUGGGAGCAAAGGCUGCCCCAAGGGACAUCAGCACAAAAGGCUGAGUUGAUUGCUCUGACCAAGGCUCUAGAACUAGGUAAAGGUAAAAGGAUAAAUGUUUUCACUGACAGCUAUUAUGCUUUUGCCACUGGCCAUGUGCACAGGGAGAUUUAUCAAAACCGAGGGCUACUGACCUCUGAAGGAAAGACAAUUAAAAAUAAAACUGAGAUAUUGACAUUGUUACAAGCCAUUUGGCUGCCCCGAGAGGUUGCUAUCAUCCAUGUCCAUGGGCAUCAAAAGGGGGCUAGCCCUGAGGUGAUUGGUAAUAAUGCAGCUGAUCUGGCAGCAAAACAGGCUGCCCCCAAAUCAGUGGGGAAACAGAUGGUUCUGCUCCCCACACUGGUGCUGCCAGAGAAACCAGAGUACACAGAUGAAGAAACGGUGGAAAUGGCCAAAAAGCGGUGGACCCAAGGUAAACACUGCAUGGGUCCACCCACCUUGGCGAGAAAAGAGUGAUGGCUGCUCUGUGACCCCAUUUUGUCAGCAAGGGAAUGCCACAAAAGGCUGAAGACCUAGUGAGACGAUGCCCCACCUGUAUCAAGUUUUGACUCCAAGACCCUAGAACCCCGCUGGAAAGGACCAUUUCCUGUCAUCCUGGUGACUCCCUCAGCAGUGAAGGUAGCUGAACACUCUGCCUGGAUCCACCGCAGCCAUUUACAGGGGGCACCCCCCGGAGGAAGCUACGUCAACAUGGCGGAUCGACCAGAACACAAAGGACCCCCUCAAGAUAAGAUUGAUCAAAGACUAGUUUGGACAAUAUGGAGGUUCUUGGGGCUACUGUUCUUACCAGCCCCAAUGGAAGGGGGAUCUGGAUACCAGCUGGUGCUGUCCAGCCACACUCCCCAGAACUGGACUUGGUCCUUAGAAAAUGCCUUAACAGGAGCUCACAUUGCCACCAUUACUACUGAUAGACAGUCCCAUUUUACUAUAGACCUGUGUGGUCUGGGGCUUCCAAUCAUUAGUGGUGGAGAGGCUGGAUCUAAGGGUAAAGUUUCACCUGGAAAGAUGGGUAAAGGGGGCCAUGGAGGGAGGUGUGGAACAGAAUAAAAGACCUCCAAGACAUAGAUAUUUAUGCCUGCCCCAUAGGACAUCUAAUAGGGUCUCUGGCCCCCAAGAAAAAGAAAAGGCAAAAGGAAUCUAUAAUGUGUCAUUAGUUGCUCCUGAAUCUCUGAUCCAACCAUACCUAAAAAUCCUGGAUGCCAUGUACACCCUGUUAAAUGAGUCUAGCUCCAAUCUUACCCAAGGGUGUUGGCUGUGUUUAAGUCCAUGUCCCCUGUAUUAUGUAGGGUUGGCAGUAAACGGCACCUUCUCAGAAGCUGACUAGAAUGAGUGUGAUUGGAAACAACUGAGGUUGUCAAUUGAGGAUAUAAAAGGAAAAGAGUUAUGUGUUAAGAAUCCAAGUGUUACUUCUUCUUACCUGGACAGUAUAUGUUCUUAUCAGACACCCACUGCCAGUAAUGAAAAAUAUUUAAAAGCUGGAAACAAUGCAUGGUGGGCAUGUACAAAUUGUAUAACUCCCUGUUUAUCCAUGACAGUCCUCAAUCAGGAACUUGAGGUACGUGUAAUGGUCCACAUUUUACCCCAAGUCACUAUAUAUGGAGAAGACCAGGGUUGGGAAUACCUAGCUAAGAUAACACACACCCGAGAGAAGCGCCACCCAGCACUGAUUCCUGUGUUAACUGCAGCAGGCGUUGCAGGAUCAGCGGCUCUGGGCGUGACUGCAAUAGGACUGCAAGACUCCAAUUUCAAGACCCUUGCCCAACAGGUAAAAAUAGACUUAGGCCUACUUACCGAGUCAGUGUCUCAUUUGGAAAAACAGGUUGAUUCUCUGGCUGAGAUGGUCCUUCAAAACCGCCGAGGACUCGACCUCGGGUUUAUGAAAGAGGGAGGGCUAUGUGCAGCCCUAGGAGAGUCAUGUUGCUAUUAUGCUAAUAAAUCUGGAAUAAUAAGAGAAACCCUGGCCACUGUAAAUAAACACCUACAAGAAAAUUAUAAUAGGUUGAUAAAACAGGAGGGAUGGUUCCAGUCAAUGUUUAACUGGUCUCCCUGGAUGACUACCCUUGUUUCUGCCCUUGCUGGACCCCUGUUAAUCUUGUUACUAGCUUUGACUUUUGGCCCAUGCAUUAUUACUAAGCUUAUGGGCUAUGUAAGGGCCUGGAUAGGAUCUGUUCGCCUAAUGAUUCUGAAUCAACAGGCCAAAUAUCAUCCUUUAAGUGAGCUAGAUGAGGAAGAGUAAAGAUGGAGACAAGAAUACCAAGAUAAUGCUGUAUAAGAUUACACAGCCACGGGAAAAAUCAGUGGGGAAUGUGAGACUGAACAACAGUUACUCCAUUUUGUAAUAGGGCCCCAACUUGUCUGCUUCUGUUACGGAUCACCAGGUAGAUAUCGAGUUCCAAGGAUGUGCUUGUUGUUGUGGCAAGAAGGUCUGUUGUGUGCGCAGUGUUCCGUCAUGCUUGCCCAACUCCAUAUCUGAACAUAUUAUCUUAAGAACAAUCUGCAAAAGUUCCUUCUGCAUUUUGCUUCUGUAUUUCUGCUUGCCAACUCCCCUCUAGCAUCUCCUAUAAAAGGACCUCAGGCUCUGAGCCAGGCACCUCUCUAAACUUGGAGCUUGGAGAGUGCUGUCUGGCCAGACUAAUAAAGGUCUGUUAUACAACUUG